rnacentral:lncRNA from 1 species
CUAGAGUUUUACACUUUUUCAGUUAGCAUUUCGUUAGCAUGCGUCAUCUAUACGCAUGCCGCGGUCCCCUUUAAACCUCUCAGGCUCUUUCGCCGUUCCGUUUCCUCCCUUUCGUCUGGAUCCGGGUUUCCUCUCUGUGUGGUCUCCCUAUCGUUUGCAGUACUCACCCAAACGAAAUGGAGGUCUACGGUGUCGGUCACGCUCAGGCGGUUAGAGUCUUUUCUCGUCAGCCACCUGCAACGGCAUUCCAUGGUGCCAGCCGCUCUCGGGGUCAAACAGCCAGCAACGUUCUCUAUUCAGACUUUCUGCCACCUCGGUGAGAUUCCGUCUGUUGGAUUUUUCCCACCACCCGCACCCUCGCGGGGCAACUGUAUUGUGCCGGUGCAGUCCGCCGGCUGAUGCUUCGGCACAGCCUCGCUUUUCUCGAAGAUUCAAGGGGAAUCUAGCUGUCUUGCCGUAUGGGGGCAACUCGGUUGUGCCUCUCGCGUCCGCGGCGUUGUUUGGUCUUCUGCAGCGGGGGUGGGGUGUCCAGCAGUCAUAAAUAACUACGAAUUGUUAUUACUAAGCGCCAGAUUUCCCGGAAGAAGGGCGUCAGCUGAGAACUCCAGAAUUCGGUAGAGACGAGAGGCCGAUGUCAUCAGUGCUUGGCGACGCAAAACGCCAGCAACGCACACCAGGCCAGCUUGACGAGAGGGACCAGAUGUGUUCGACGCGUCUGUGCUUCGCCAGAGAAGGCAACGUUCUCAAGCCAACGCGGCGACCUCCCGCAACGGGCUUGCGUAUCGUUUGGAAAAGAAGUGCGGCCGUGCCGUCUGGCGAGCACACAAAGCCAGUACAACGAGCAGACGCGUUGUGAAGAAAUCCGAAGCUGUCCUGGAAGCCGUCGUGGACCCGACCACUGGCUAUUUGGAAGCAUCGUUUCGAGUUGACAGGCUGUACACCAUGGGGGUUCGUGUGCGUGGCCUCCCGUCGGCGGAGAGGACACAAAGCCGAAGAAAUGCGGCAAGUGUUGCCGCUGUUUCCAGGCGAAAGAUGCAAAAGCACUUUUCUGUGUGCGCGCCUGCACCCAGAGGCGGGGGCGGGUGGUCUCGUGGGCGGUAGCUGGCGUCGCCCGUUUCUCUCGGCUUUCGUGGAGGACACACUCUCGCUCCAGCACUGUAGCCGUGUGUCGUGGCGUCGUACGUGUGGUGCUUUGUGAUCCGUGAAUGAUUGUGUUUAGCGACUUGUUUUAUCUAACAAACAAUCUUGAAUUUUUUCUCCUCUGGUGGCUCAAUUCCGCUUUGCCAUCCCGGUGUCAGGAC